rnacentral:rRNA from 1 species
CACGUAGGGCGCAAGCGUUGUCCGGAAUUAUUGGGCGUAAAGCGUGUGUAGGCGGCCAUAUAAGUCGGAUGUGAAAGCCCUGGGCUCAACCCAGGAAGUGCACUCGAUACUGUAUGGCUUGAGUACUGGAGAGGUUGGUGGAAUUCUCGGUGUAGAGGUGAAAUUCGUAGAUAUCGAGAGGAACACCGGUGGCGAAGGCGGCCAACUGGACGAAGACUGACGCUGAGACACGAAAGCGUGGGGAGCAAACAGG